UGAGUGAGUUUUGAAGGAUCUUAGAUUCAUUGUCUUCCCUUCCGAAGGUGUUUUUGCCUUGUAUUGGCUCGUGUUACAAAUGAAUGCUUACUGGAAGAUUGUUACAACUGAAAACCUCGACGCACAAAGGUGCUCGCAUCAAAAAGAUCAACUCAUGAACUCACCAGAGACUGAGAUGGAGAAUCUGUCCGCACAGUAAAACACAAAACAAAAUAAGACUGAAAACUAAUUUGUGCAGCAGGAGGUUUGGUGACAUUCUGUUACAAAUAACUUGCUUUUUUGUGGCUGUAUUUAAGUUUUGUAUAAUCAAACAUUCAGAUUGAUGUACAGCUCAUGUAAAUGUGGCAUAUUUGAAUAUUUAAUAGUUAUAUAUAAGGGAGCUGAACACGUGUUUCGUAAAUGUUUAUAUGACUUUUACAUCAGUAGCAGUAGAACAAUAUUCUCUUAGUACAAUAUUAGUGCAA